GCAGCCGCGGUAAUACGUAGGGAGCAAGCGUUGUCCGGAAUGACUGGGCGUAAAGGGUACGUAGGUGGCUAUUCAAGUUAGUGGUGAAAUUCCGGGGCUCAACUCCGGCGCUACCACUAAGACUGUUUAGCUUGAGUGCAGGAGGGGUAAGUGGAAUUCCUAGUGUAGCGGUGGAAUGCGUAGAUAUUAGGAGGAACACCAGUGGCGAAGGCGACUUACUGGACUGUAACUGACACUGAAGUACGAAAGCGUGGGGAGCAAACAGGAUUAGAUACCCC
rnacentral:rRNA from 1 species